rnacentral:rRNA from 1 species
CCUACGGGAGGCUGCAGUGAGGAAUAUUGGUCAAUGGGCGAGAGCCUGAACCAGCCAAGUCGCGUGAAGGAUGACGGCCCUACGGGUUGUAAACUUCUUUUGUCAGGGAGCAAUUGAGUCCACGUGUGGUCUUAGCGAGAGUACCUGAAGAAAAAGCAUCGGCUAACUCCGUGCCAGCAGCCGCGGUAAUACGGGGGAUGCGAGCGUUAUCCGGAGUUAUUGGGUUUAAAGGGUGCGUAGGCGGAAUGCCAAGUCAGCGGUAAAAUCGCGGGGCUCAACCUCGCUCCGCCGUUGAAACUGGCGUUCUUGAGUGGGCGAGAAGUAUGCGGAAUGCGUGGUGUAGCGGUGAAAUGCAUAGAUAUCACGCAGAACUCCGAUUGCGAAGGCAGCAUACCGGCGCCCAACUGACGCUGAAGCACGAAAGCGUGGGUAUCGAACAGGAUUAGAUACCCGGGUAGUC